UCCGCUUCCCAAUACAAGUUCCACCUCGUGGACAUGACUUUUUAUUAUCUGGCCUCAAAUCAGGUAGGACUACCCGCUGAACUUAAGCAUAUCAAUAAGCGGAGGAAAAGAAACUAACAAGGAUUCCCCUAGUAACGGCGAGUGAAGCGGGAAAAGCUCAAAUUUGAAAUCUGGUAGCCUCAGGCUGCCCGAGUUGUAAUCUAUAGAAACGUUUUCCGCGUUGGCCCAUGUACAAGUCUCCUGGAAUGGAGCGUCAUAGAGGGUGAGAAUCCCGUCCUUGACAUGGACUACCAAUGCUUUGUGAUACGUUUUCAAAGAGUCGAGUUGUUUGGGAAUGCAGCUCAAAAUGGGUGGUAAAUUCCAUCUAAAGCUAAAUAUUGGCGAGAGACCGAUAGCGAACAAGUACCGUGAGGGAAAGAUGAAAAGCACUUUGGAAAGAGAGUUAAACAGUAUGUGAAAUUGUUGAAAGGGAAACGAUUGAAGUCAGUCAUGUCUAUUGGACUCAGCCGGUUCUGCCGGUGUACUUCCUUUAGAUGGGGUCAACAUCAGUUUUGAUCGCUGGAAAAGGGCAGGAGGAAUGUAGCACUCUCGGGUGAACUUAUAGCCUUCUGUCGUAUACAGUGGUUGGGACUGAGGAACGCAGCAUGCCUUUAUGGCCGGGGUUCGCCCACGUACAUGCUUAGGAUGUUGACAUAAUGGCUUAAACGACCCGUCUUGAAACACGGACCAAGGAGUCUAACAUAUCUGCGAGUAUU
rnacentral:rRNA from 1 species